rnacentral:lncRNA from 1 species
CUCCCCCCCCGCCGGGUUAACCCCUUCGCGGCCCCUGCGGCGCGGCGGCUGGCUGCGGCCCCGGAGGUCCCCACCCACCCACCGCCUGCGCUCCGGGCCGGUCGGAGGACCGGCGGCCUCCAGCCGCGGGACGUCUGCGACAGAGGCCAGACUUCCUCUGGAACCAAGCACUGCUGGAGUCGCGGCGAAAGUCGAAUCACUAUAUUCAAAACGAAACCCUUCGUGGGGGGAGGGGCAUCGACGGUUUUAGCGGGUAGGGAGGAAACACCAAGAAAGAAAACCAACUAAUAAGCCUACCUGGGUUUGAGGGUCAUUGGGCGAGCUCCCC